GUAUAUUCCACCCCUUGUUCUGGUGAAUCAGAGUGUCAUUCUACAGUUCUGCGGGGCUGCGUGAACAGAUGACAUGAUAUCUUCUUCCUCUGAUGAAAGAAUAUGAUCUGCUGUAGCCUACAGCGGGGGUGGUUGAGGACCAGAACACGCAUCCACCAAGGCGGGAGCGCGCAUUGUGAAGAGGCGGGGCAGCGGGAAUAUCUCUUUCCGGACAUUUACCGAUGUUUACCUCCACCUGCCCGCGCGACGCGCCCAGUUCCAAGGUUUUUAACAGCGAUAGUAUCAACGGACAUGACAAAGUUCCCAAAUCCAGGACUACCGAGCAGUCUGCACAGGGCGGAGGAGAGAACAGGGAAAAGGACAUGUUCAGACUCUGGACAGAUAAUAAUGUUGUGGAGAGAUGGACUGAGGGAUGUGUGUGUGUGUGUGUGUGUGUGUGUAGUGAGUGAGUGACGCGUAAUUCAGAGUGCAAAGACACAGAGAGACGUGACAGUCCCGCGUCCCAUUGUGACAUAGCUACGCAGCUCUGAGACCACUGUCAGCGGGGGGAACACACAGCCAUAACGGAACAUUCCCAACCAACGCGGCUCUGAGACCACUGUCAGCGGGGGGAACACACAGCCAUAACGGAACAUUCCUAACCAACGCGGCUCUGAGACCACUGUCAGCGGGGGGAACACACAGCCAUAACGGAACAUUCCCAACCAACGCGGCUCUGGGACCACUGUCAGCGGGGGAACACACAGCCAUAACGGAACAUUCCCAACCAACGCG
rnacentral:lncRNA from 1 species